rnacentral:rRNA from 1 species
CGCAAGAGAGCCGGAACACAGGUGCUGCAUGCUGUCGUCAGCUCGUGUCGUGAGAUGUUGGGUUAAGUCCCGCAACGAGCGCAACCCUUGUCAUUAGUUGCCAUCAUUUGGUUGGGCACUCUAAUGAGACUGCCGGUGACAAACCGGAGGAAGUGGGGAUGACGUCAAGUCCUCAUGGCCCUUAUGGGUAGGGCUUCACACGUCAUACAAUGGUCGGUACAGAGGGUUGCCAACCCGCGAGGGGGAGCUAAUCCCACAAAGCCGAUCGUAGUCCGGAUCGCAGUCUGCAACUCGACUGCGUGAAGUCGGAAUCGCUAGUAAUCGUGGAUCAGCAUGUCACGGUGAAUACGUUCCCGGGUCCUU